GACGAACGCUGGCGGCGUGCUUAACACAUGCAAGUCGAACGGUGAAGCGCCUUCCUUUUUGGUGGGUGUGGAUGAGUGGCGAACGGGUGAGUAACACGUGAGUAACCUGCCCCCUUCUUCUGGAUAACCGCAUGAAAGUGUGGCUAAUACGGGAUAUUCUGGGUCUGUCGCAUGAUGGGUCUGGGAAAGAUCUUGUUUCGGUUGGGCAUGGGCUCGCGGCCUAUCAGCUUGUUGGUGGGGUGAUGGCCUACCAAGGCGGUGACGGGUAGCCGGCCUGAGAAGGUGGACGGUCACACUGGGACUGAGACACGGCCCUGACUCCUACGGGAGGCAGCAGUGGGGAAUAUUGCACAAUGGGCGCAAGCCUGAUGCAGCGACGCCGCGUGAGAGAUGGAGGCCUUCGGGUUGUGAACCUCUUUCGACAGUGAAGCAGGCCUGCCUCGUUUGUGGGUGGGUUGACGGUAGCUGGAGAAGAAGCGCCGGCUAACUACGUG
rnacentral:rRNA from 1 species